UGCAAUGAUGAUCUUAUCCAAUCUCGUUAAUCUGAUGAUUACUGAGGACAACCCUCUAAUCCAUUUUCAAUUGACUGAGC